rnacentral:tRNA from 1 species
UGUAGAUAGGUGACUCCCAACCACCCUUAGUGA